AUUGAACGCUGGCGGCAGGCUUAACACAUGCAAGUCGAGCGGGGAAAGGUAGCUUGCUACCUGACCUAGCGGCGGACGGGUGAGUAAUGCUUAGGAAUCUGCCUAUUAGUGGGGGACAACAUCUCGAAAGGGAUGCUAAUACCGCAUACGUCCUACGGGAGAAAGCAGGGGACCUUCGGGCCUUGCGCUAAUAGAUGAGCCUAAGUCGGAUUAGCUAGUUGGUGGGGUAAAGGCCUACCAAGGCGACGAUCUGUAGCGGGUCUGAGAGGAUGAUCCGCCACACUGGGACUGAGACACGGCCCAGGCUCCUACGGGAGGCAGCAGUGGGGAAUAUUGGACAAUGGGGGGAACCCUGAUCCAGCCAUGCCGCGUGUGUGAAGAAGGCCUUUUGGUUGUAAAGCACUUUAAGCGAGGAGGAGGCUACCGAGUUUAAUACUCUUGGAUAGUGGACGUUACUCGCAGAAUAAGCACCGGCUAACUCUGUGCCAGCCGCCGCCGUAAAAC
rnacentral:rRNA from 1 species